rnacentral:rRNA from 1 species
AUUGAACGCUGGCGGCAGGCCUAACACAUGCAAGUCGAGCGGGGUUUUCGGACCUAGCGGCGGACGGGUGAGUAAUGCGUAGGAAGCUGCCCGAUAGAGGGGGAUACCAGUUGGAAACGACUGUUAAUACCGCAUAAUGUCUACGGACCAAAGUGUGGGACCUUCGGGCCACAUGCUAUCGGAUGCGCCUACGUGGGAUUAGCUAGUUGGUGAGGUAAUGGCUCACCAAGGCGACGAUCUCUAGCUGGUUUGAGAGGAUGAUCAGCCACACUGGAACUGAGACACGGUCCAGACUCCUACGGGAGGCAGCAGUGGGGAAUAUUGGACAAUGGGCGCAAGCCUGAUCCAGCCAUGCCGCGUGUGUGAAGAAGGCCUUCGGGUUGUAAAGCACUUUCAGCGAGGAGGAAGGGAUGUAUGUUAAUAGCAUGCAUUUUUGACGUUACUCGCAGAAGAAGCACCGGCUAACUCUGUGCCAGCAGCCGCCGUAACAC